GGUCCCGACUAGCUCAUCUGGUAGAGCAGCAUGGCAUUAACAUUGCAAGGAUUAGGGGUUCGAUUCCCACUAGGACCA